AACAAACGCUGGCGGCGUGUCUUAAGCAUGCAAGUCGAGCGGCAAGGGCAGCAAUGCCCCUAGAGCGGCGGACUGGUGAGUAACGCGUGGGUGAUCUACCAUAGGCAUGGGGAUAGCCAUUAGAAAUAGUGGGUAAUACCGAAUACGUUCGUUACCGUGAGGGUAACGAGGAAAGGUGCUACGGCACCGGCCUUAUGAUGAGCUCGCGUCCCAUUAGCUAGUUGGUGAGGUAAAGGCCCACCAAGGCGAUGAUGGGUAGCCGGCCUGAGAGGGUGUACGGCCACACUGGGACUGAGAUACGGCCCAGACUCCUACGGGAGGCAG
rnacentral:rRNA from 1 species